UGAGGAAUAUUGCGCAAUGGGGGAAACCCUGACGCAGCAACGCCGCGUGGGUGAAGAAGGCCUUCGGGUCGUAAAGCCCUUUCGGACGGGACGAACGCUUCGCGAGGACAAUCCGCGAAGCCUGACGGUACCGUAAGAAGAAGCACCGGCUAACUCCGUGCCAGCAGCCGCGGUAAUACGGAGGGUGCAAGCGUUGUUCGGAAUUACUGGGCGUAAAGCGCGUGUAGGCGGCCCUGUAAGUCAGAUGUGAAAGCCCUCGGCUUACCCGGGGAAGUGCAUCUGAAACUGCUUGGCUUGAGUACCGGAGAGGGAGGCGGAAUUCCCAGUGUAGAGGUGAAAUUCGUAGAUAUUGGGAGGAACACCGGUGGCGAAAGCGGCCUCCUGGACGGAUACUGACGCUGAGACGCGAAAGCGUGGGGAGCAAACAGGAUUAGAUACCCUGGUAGUCCACGCGGUAAACGAUGGGCACUAGGUGUGGGGGGUAGUCCGACUCCUCCUGUGCCGAAGCUAACGCAUUAAGUCG
rnacentral:rRNA from 1 species